rnacentral:rRNA from 1 species
AGAUUAAGUUAUUAAGGGCGCACGGUGGAUGCCUUGGCACUAGAAGCCGAUGAAGGACGUUACUAACGACGAUAUGCUUUGGGGAGCUGUAAGUAAGCUUUGAUCCAGAGAUUUCCGAAUGGGGAAACCCAGCAUGAGUUAUGUCAUGUUAUCGAUAUGUGAAUACAUAGCAUAUCAGAAGGCACACCCGGAGAACUGAAACAUCUUAGUACCCGGAGGAAGAGAAAGAAAAUUCGAUUCCCUUAGUAGCGGCGAGCGAAACGGGAAGAGCCCAAACCAACAAGCUUGCUUGUUGGGGUUGUAGGACACUCUAUACGGAGUUACAAAGGACGACAUUAGACGAAUCAUCUGGAAAGAUGAAUCAAAGAAGGUAAUAAUCCUGUAGUCGAAAAUGUUGUCUCUCUUGAGUGGAUCCUGAGUACGACGGAGCACGUGAAAUUCCGUCGGAAUCUGGGAGGACCAUCUCCUAAGGCUAAAUACUCUCUAGUGACCGAUAGUGAACCAGUACCGUGAGGGAAAGGUGAAAAGCACCCCGGAAGGGGAGUGAAAUAGAACCUGAAACCGUGUGCUUACAAGUAGUCAGAGCCCGUUAAUGGGUGAUGGCGUGCCUUUUGUAGAAUGAACCGGCGAGUUACGAUUUGAUGCAAGGUUAAGCAGUAAAUGUGGAGCCGUAGCGAAAGCGAGUCUGAAUAGGGCGUUUAGUAUUUGGUCGUAGACCCGAAACCAGGUGAUCUACCCUUGGUCAGGUUGAAGUUCAGGUAACACUGAAUGGAGGACCGAACCGACUUACGUUGAAAAGUGAGCGGAUGAACUGAGGGUAGCGGAGAAAUUCCAAUCGAACCUGGAGAUAGCUGGUUCUCUCCGAAAUAGCUUUAGGGCUAGCCUCAAGUGAUGAUUAUUGGAGGUAGAGCACUGUUUGGACGAGGGGCCCCUCUCGGGUUACCGAAUUCAGACAAACUCCGAAUGCCAAUUAAUUUAACUUGGGAGUCAGAACAUGGGUGAUAAGGUCCGUGUUCGAAAGGGAAACAGCCCAGACCACCAGCUAAGGUCCCAAAAUAUAUGUUAAGUGGAAAAGGAUGUGGCGUUGCCCAGACAACUAGGAUGUUGGCUUAGAAGCAGCCAUCAUUUAAAGAGUGCGUAAUAGCUCACUAGUCGAGUGACACUGCGCCGAAAAUGUACCGGGGCUAAACAUAUUACCGAAGCUGUGGAUUGUCCUUUGGACAAUGGUAGGAGAGCGUUCUAAGGGCGUUGAAGCAUGAUCGUAAGAACAUGUGGAGCGCUUAGAAGUGAGAAUGCCGGUGUGAGUAGCGAAAGACGGGUGAGAAUCCCGUCCACCGAUUGACUAAGGUUUCCAGAGGAAGGCUCGUCCGCUCUGGGUUAGUCGGGUCCUAAGCUGAGGCCGACAGGCGUAGGCGAUGGAUAACAGGUUGAUAUUCCUGUACCACCUAUAAUCGUUUUAAUCGAUGGGGGGGACGCAGUAGGAUAGGCGAAGCGUGCGAUUGGAUUGCACGUCUAAGCAGUAAGGCUGAGUAUUAGGCAAAUCCGGUACUCGUUAAGGCUGAGCUGUGAUGGGGAGAAGACAUUGUGUCUUCGAGUCGUUGAUUUCACACUGCCGAGAAAAGCCUCUAGAUAGAAAAUAGGUGCCCGUACCGCAAACCGACACAGGUAGUCAAGAUGAGAAUUCUAAGGUGAGCGAGCGAACUCUCGUUAAGGAACUCGGCAAAAUGACCCCGUAACUUCGGGAGAAGGGGUGCUCUUUAGGGUUAACGCCCAGAAGAGCCGCAGUGAAUAGGCCCAAGCGACUGUUUAUCAAAAACACAGGUCUCUGCUAAACCGUAAGGUGAUGUAUAGGGGCUGACGCCUGCCCGGUGCUGGAAGGUUAAGAGGAGUGGUUAGCUUCUGCGAAGCUACGAAUCGAAGCCCCAGUAAACGGCGGCCGUAACUAUAACGGUCCUAAGGUAGCGAAAUUCCUUGUCGGGUAAGUUCCGACCCGCACGAAAGGCGUAACGAUUUGGGCACUGUCUCAACGAGAGACUCGGUGAAAUCAUAGUACCUGUGAAGAUGCAGGUUACCCGCGACAGGACGGAAAGACCCCGUGGAGCUUUACUGUAGCCUGAUAUUGAAAUUCGGCACAGCUUGUACAGGAUAGGUAGGAGCCUUUGAAACGUGAGCGCUAGCUUACGUGGAGGCGCUGGUGGGAUACUACCCUAGCUGUGUUGGCUUUCUAACCCGCACCACUUAUCGUGGUGGGAGACAGUGUCAGGCGGGCAGUUUGACUGGGGCGGUCGCCUCCUAAAAGGUAACGGAGGCGCUCAAAGGUUCCCUCAGAAUGGUUGGAAAUCAUUCAUAGAGUGUAAAGGCAUAAGGGAGCUUGACUGCGAGACCUACAAGUCGAGCAGGGUCGAAAGACGGACUUAGUGAUCCGGUGGUUCCGCAUGGAAGGGCCAUCGCUCAACGGAUAAAAGCUACCCCGGGGAUAACAGGCUUAUCUCCCCCAAGAGUUCACAUCGACGGGGAGGUUUGGCACCUCGAUGUCGGCUCAUCGCAUCCUGGGGCUGUAGUCGGUCCCAAGGGUUGGGCUGUUCGCCCAUUAAAGCGGUACGCGAGCUGGGUUCAGAACGUCGUGAGACAGUUCGGUCCCUAUCCGUCGUGGGCGUAGGAAAUUUGAGAGGAGCUGUCCUUAGUACGAGAGGAC